rnacentral:rRNA from 1 species
UGGGGAAUUUUGCACAAUGGGCGCAAGCCUGAUGCAGCCAUGCCGCGUGAGUGAAGAAGGCCUUAGGGUUGUAAAACUCUUUCACCGGGGAAGAUAAUGACGGUAGCCGGUAAAGAAGCCCCGGCUAACUCCGGGCCAACAGCCGCGGGAAUACUGAGGGGGCUAGCGUUGUUCGGAAUUACUGGGGGUAAAGCGCGCGUAAGCUGAUGGGUCAGUUGGGGGUGAAAUCCCGAGGCUUAACCUCAGAACUGCCCUCAAUACUGCCCCUCUAAACUUCGGAGGAGGUAAGUGGAAUUCCUAGUGUAGAAGUGAAAUUCGAAUAUAUUAGGAAGGACACCAUUGGCGAAGGCGGGUUACUGGACCGAUACUGACGCUAACGCGCUAAAGCAAGGGGAGCAAACA